rnacentral:rRNA from 1 species
UACAGAGGUGGCAAGCGUUGUUCGGAAUUACUGGGCGUAAAGAGCGUGUAGGCGGCCUGAUAAGUCGGCUGUGAAAGUCAAGGGCUCAACCCUUGAAUGCCGGCCGAUACUGUCAGGCUAGAAUCCGGAAGAGGCGAGUGGAAUUCCUGGUGUAGCGGUGAAAUGCGCAGAUAUCAGGAGGAACACCUAUGGCGAAGGCAGCUCGCUGGGACGGUAUUGACGCUGAGACGCGAAAGCGUGGGGAGCGAACAGG